GUGAACGCUGGCGGUAGGCCUGACACAUGCUAGUCGAACGGCAGCACAGUAAGAGCUUGCUCUGACGGGUGGCGAGUGGCGGACUGGUGAGGAAUACAUCGGAAUCUACUUUUUCGUGGGGGAUAACGUAGGGAAACUUAUGCGAAUACCGCAUACGACCUACGUGUGAAAGCAGGGGAUAUUCGGACCUUGUGCGAUUGAAUGAGCCGACGUCGGAUUAGCUAGUUGGCGGGGUAAAGGCCCACCAAGUCGACGAUCCGUAGCUGGUCUGAGAGGAUGAUCAGACACACUGGAACUGAGACACGGUACAGACUCCUACGGGAGGGAGCAGUGCAGAAUAUUGGACAAUGGGCGAAAGCCUGAUGCAGCCAUACCGCGUGGGUGAAGAAGGCCUUAGGGUUGUAAAGCCGUUUUGUUGGGAAAGAAAAGCAGCAGGUUAAUACCCCGCUGUUCUGACGGUACCCAAAGAAUAAGCACCGGCUAACUUCGUG
rnacentral:rRNA from 1 species